UGCGAUUAAAUCGAAGGUUGGAAGCCAUUACAGGUCUGUCUACUGCCAGUCGCUACAGUGAAGCGCUACAGGUUGUUAAUUACGGUAUUGCCGGUCACUACGAACCCCACGUGGAUCACGCUAGGUCCGAAAAAUCAGCUAUCUUCCAGAUGGGCAUGCGCAAUAGGAUUGCCACAGUGUUGAUAUACGUAAGUG